UACGGAGGGUGCAAGCGUUAUCCGGAUUCACUGGGCUUAAAGGGCGCGUAGGCGGUCAGGUAAGUCAGUGGUGAAAUCUCUGGGCUUAACCCAGAAACUGCCGUUGAUACUAUUUGUCUUGAAUAUCCUGGAGGUAGGCGGAAUAUGUCAUGUAGCGGUGAAAUGCUUAGAUAUGACAUAGAACACCGAUAGCGAAGGCAGCUUACUACAGGAUGAUUGACGCUGAGGCACGAAAGCGUGGGGAGCAAACAGG
rnacentral:rRNA from 1 species